rnacentral:misc_RNA from 1 species
GAUGAAGAACGCAGCGAAAUGCGAUAAGUAAUGUGAAUUGCAGAAUUCAGUGAAUCAUCGAAUCUUUGAACGCACAUUGCGCCCCUUGGUAUUCCGAGGGGCAUGCCUGCUCGAGCGUCAUUAUAACCCCUCAAGCUCAGCUUGGUGUUGGGGCCUGCUGCACUGGCAGCCCUUAAAAUCAGUGGCGGCGCCAUCUGGCUCUAAGCGUAGUAAUUCUUCUCGCUAUGGAGUCCUGGUGGAUGCUUGCCAUCAACCCCCAAUUUUUCUAUGGUUGACCUCGGAUCAGGUAGGGAUACACGCUGAACUUAAGCAUAUCAAUAAGCGGAGGA